rnacentral:misc_RNA from 1 species
CCCAGCCUGUCCUGACUUCCCUGUCACAGAUCCAGUGGCCUCAUCCACCAGACACUCUGAUCCUAUCCUCUGCUUCACAGACUCAACAAACUCCUCUGCCUGAUCACAGGCCACCCUAAACAACUCCCACCUCUGCUUAAAAUUUUCCAAUGCAGCAUCAGUGGCUGCUGUUUUCUGUGCACCAGCAACCUCCUUGGCCUCAAGCACAUUAGCUGCUGCAGCCACAAACUCCUGAUAUGCAUUGUUUAAAGAGUCUACAAGGUUGUCCAUCACAGCCCCGCUUAUGCUUCUCCUCAGCACAGCUAACUUUCAAGAAUUGGUAACAACU